rnacentral:lncRNA from 1 species
GUUUUGACUUUUGUGAAAGUUUAGCACAUGUGUAAGAUAAAUUAAAUCAUAAACCUGUUACCUACCUACCAUUUACCUUACUUCCUUUCUUUUCUUUUUCUUUGGGUAGAACCAUCACAAUCAAACUUUAAUUUUGAUUGUCAUACACUCAAUUACACAUUACCCUAUUAUUAUAUUGAGGAGCACAUGGUGUAGAACAACCCAUUUCUGAUUUCUUAUAAAGAGACCAAUAUGAUUUUAUUAUCAAACCACACUAAAAUACAUAUACACCUAAAAGUCUAAUCUAAGUUCAAGAGUUCAAGUUCGAAGUUCAGUGCUUUCAAAAUCCAUCUCUUUGCUUGAAUCAAGUGGGUGUUUGUCUAAAGUAUGAAAAGUUCGCAUAAGUUUUGAGGACGACCCGAUUUUUGGAUUCUUUUUUGCUUGCUAAACUAAGGUAAUCAGGGAUAAUAUGGGGAAUCAGUAAUGAGAGAUUAAUGGAUGUUCAAGAGUAUUUAAAGACUCUUUAUUUUGUUAAAUCAUGUACUU